UACGGAGGAGGCAAGCGUUAUCCGGAAUUAUUGGGCGUAAAGCGCCCGUAGGUGGUUCUGUCAGUCUGCUGUCAAAGCACAGGGCUUAACCCUGUAAAGGCAGUGGAAACUACAAGACUAGAGUGCAGUAGGGGCAGGGGGAAUUCCCAGUGUAGCGGUGAAAUGCGUAGAGAUUGGGAAGAACAUCCGUGGCGAAAGCGCUCUGCUGGACUGCAACUGACAUUGAGGGACGAAAGCUAGGGGAGCGAAUGGG
rnacentral:rRNA from 1 species